AUUGAACGCUGGCGGAAUGCUUUACACAUGCAAGUCGAACGGCAGCACGGACUUCGGUCUGGUGGCGAGUGGCGAACGGGUGAGUAAUGUAUCGGAACGUGCCCAGUCGUGGGGGAUAACGUAGUGAAAAUUACGCUAAUACCGCAUACGAUCUAUGGAUGAAAGCGGGGGAUCGCAAGACCUCGCGCGAUAGGAGCGGCCGAUAUCAGAUUAGGUAGGUGGUGGGGUAAAGGCCCACCAAGCCAACGAUCUGUAACUGGUCUGAGAGGACGACCAGCCACACUGGAACUGAGACACGGUCAAGACUCCUACGGGAGGAAGAAGUGGGGAAUUUUGGACAAUGGGCGAAAGCCUGAUCCAGCCAUUCCGCGUGCAGGAUGAAGGCCCUCGGGUUGUAAACUGCUUUUGUACAGAACGAAAAGGUUUCUACUAAUACUAGGAGCUCAUGACGGUACUGUAAGAAUAAGCACCGGCUAACUACGUGCCAGCCGCCGCCGUAACAC
rnacentral:rRNA from 1 species